AUGCUUCAUAUAAAAAUCCGUAAUAUUGAGUUGCCAUAUUUUUCAUGCUUCCUACAUCCUUGCUGUUUUGAGCCAACAUUAGGGGUCAAGCCCUAUUGCUUCUGCAUGACAUGCUUCCAUACUUCUAUUCCAUUCCUAUUCUUUUCUCAGUUCACAUUAACAACAACCCAUGUUCUCAUGGAUGUAAAGUUGAUCUGGUUUGACUGUUUGUGGUUUAACAUUGUUGCUGAAAGCUCACGUUUACUCAAACUUAGAUUGAUGGAGUUGGCUUACAAACCAUUAAUAUGUUUACCCUACUCAUGGCAAGUAGCUAAUAAUUUUGCAUAUUCAAAUUUAUGUAUUAACAGUAUACGUAUCAAUUAUGCCGCAUAUCCAUUGUGA
rnacentral:rRNA from 1 species